CUCGCUGUCUCUCUCAUACACACACUCACACACAUACAUUUAGACGCUCUCACACACACACCCAUUUGUGACGCUCGGUCCUCCUUUUUAACCCGCAAGGUGAGGGUGUGGGAGAAACAAUGAAUAAGGAGUUUGUCUAAAGCACUCGGGAUCGAUCUCAUCCGUAUUAUCGCUCGUCAAGGAGGUCCAGAACGCACAGCUGUUUCAGCGGAUUUAUUUUCCGAGAGUUUCCCACCGGCGGCCGGUAACAGAAACAGAGCUCAGGUGAUCAGGAAAUAUCGUGUUCAUCCGGCCAUGGCCCGGCGAAUUUCACCUGUUGUCGCGUUCCUGCUUUGUUUUGGAUUGUCGCAUUUCUUUGAGGCUGAAGCCAGAUUGCAGCACUCUGUGGCCCUCCACAGGCAGAAGAGAGAAUGGAUCGUCCCUCCACAGAUCCUAGAGGAAAACGUAGAUUACACCAAGAAAGACUUCAUUGCAAAAAUUCGCUCAGAUAAGGAAGUUGCCCAAAUGAAAAAUCUGAGGUACUCACUGAGAGGCGUAGGUGCAGAUCAGGAGCCGUUCAAUUUGUUUGUGGUGAAUCCUGAAACUGGAUAUGUAAGAAUAACAGGGAUCCUUGACAGAGAGUCCAUCUCACAGUACAAUCUUUCAGGCAUCGCUUUGUUCACAGAUGGCUCAAUUGCAGAGAAUGACAUCGGGCUGAGAAUUAAAGUGAAAGACCAGAAUGACAAUGCUCCUGUUUUUGGUGUGAUGAAUCCUGGGGCUGUGGAUGAGCUCAGUGCUGUUGGCACAGAAGUGAUGAGGUUGAAUUGCUUUGAUGCUGAUGAGCCAGGAAACCCAAACUCUCAGAUCAAGUAUGAGAUUGUUGACCAGCAGCCGGCAGGGCAGUCAAUGUUCAGGGUGGAAAACAACGGGAGAGUGGUUGUUGCCAAUCCUAACCUGGAUAGAGAGACUGUUGAUCAGUACGUCCUGCUUGUCAAAGCAUCUGACCUGAAUGGAGCCCCAGGUGGCAAUGCCGCAACAGGGACGGUCACCAUCAAGAUCAAUGAUGUCAAUGAUAACGUGCCUACAUUGGGAGGCCCAUAUGAGGCCAGUAUUGAAGAGAAUACAGAGAAUGUCGAGGUGAUGAGGCUCAAAGUUAGUGACCUAGAUCUUAAGGGUACGGACAACUGGGAAGGUGAUUGUUAUAUUGCGUCAGGCAAUGAGGCUGGAUACUUCAGCAUUCACAUGGACCCAAAGACUAAUGAAGUGGUCCUGACGCUAGACAAGGCGGUUGAUUAUGAAGAUGUCAAAGAUCUGAACCUUGGCAUCGGUGUAGCCAACAAAGCCCCCUUUCACCCAUCUGUGAGUGGAGGAUCACAAGGAGCGACUAUCAGCUUUGGGGGCAGUGGUGGUGGUGCAGGAAGUGGAGCUGCUGGUGGAGCUGGAGCCAUGGGUGGCGCCAGUGGCAGCGGAGGUGGUACAGGUGCCAGUUCAUGGUCAUCGUCAGGCGUUCCGCUCUACAAUGUAAACAUAAAGGUGAAAAACCAGCCAGAAGGUCCCAAGUUCUUUCCAGGAACAAAAGCCAUUCCCAUCUCAGAAGGCAAGGCUUUUGACAGCACUGAGAUCAUUGCUCGAUACCCCGCUAUUGAUACAGACACAGGAAAGGAAGCAACCAACGUCAAGUACAUUAAAUCGUCUGACCCUGAUAACUGGCUGACCAUCGACGAGAAGACUGGGGCCAUUAGAAUGAACAAGGCUCCUGACCGCGAGUCCAAGUAUCUUGUUAAUGGCACUUAUUAUGCCAAAGUCCUCAGCAUAACCCAAGACUUGCCUUCGAAGACUGCAACAGGCACCAUUGCCAUUCAGGUGGAGGAUUUUAAUGACCACUGCCCCACUUUGAUAAGCAAUGUCCAGACACUUUGCACUGACAAGGAUGCGGUCUUGGUUACUGCAAAAGAUGAGGAUGCACCACCCAAUGGAGCUCCAUUCGAUUUCAAUAUUGUUUCAGAAGGGACUGCGGGGAAAUGGACAGUUGAAUAUAUGAAUGACACCACAGCCAUAUUCAGGACCCAUGAAAAGCUAUGGCCAGGACCACAUGAGCUGAUGGUGGAAGUCACGGAUCAGCAGGGAUUGAAAUGUCCAGAACCUCAGAAACUGCAGGUGGAUGUGUGCACAUGUAAAAACCAGGGUGGAUGUGAUCGAACCGCAACAGGAGAUGCGAAGAAGGGGUCCAGGCUUGGACCUGCAGGAAUCGGCCUGCUCCUCCUUGGACUUCUUGCAUUAUUGCUCAUCCCACUUCUGUUGCUGCUCUGUACGUGUGGAAUGACAGGAGCUUUCACAGACAUGCCGUUUGAAACCAAAGUGCAUCUCAUCUCUUCCAAUACUGAAGGCCAAGGAGAGGAUAGGGAUGUUCCAUUAAUGUGCCCUCCUUCCAAUGUUGACGGGAUGGGUUUCAUGACAAAGGAUUAUAUGGCUGUGGGUGCCAUGCAUUCUGCAGGACUAGGAUUAGGAGUAGGAGCAGGAGUAGGAGCUGCGGGUUUCCUGGAGUCCACUUCCACAAUGGGUGGCCGAGGCUACAAUGAAAUGGAAUUAGACUACAUGAACUCCAUCGGGAGAAAUAAUGCCUAUUCGAGUAGAGAUAUGGCUGGAGAUUUUGACGGAAUGGCAUUAUCUGAUGGAUACCUGUGUGAAUACUAUUCACAGAAAAGCCGUGUAGUGGACGGAUUUGGAAAGGAUGACCCUAUGGUGUAUGAUUAUGAAGGGAAGGGUUCUCCUGUUGGUUCAGUUGGCUGCUGCAGCUUACUCGAAGAUCAAAAUGACCUAGAGUUUCUGAAUGACCUUGGGCCAAAGUUCACCACUCUCGCUGACAUUUGUGGAGGUAAAAAGACUGAAAUCCCAGCUCCUGCACCAGCUCCUCUUCCUCCCCCUCCCAAACCUGUAGUGGACCGCUCCGAGGUGGUGUCUUCAACCACCAACAUCUUAAAUACAGGGAAUAUUGCCACUAACAGAGUUAACACAGUAAACGUAGCUUCCAACAUGGCCACAGCAUCAUCUACUCGUGUGGAGAACGUGCUGGUUACAGACAACCGCCCCACUAUGAUUACGAGUGUCCAGCCAGCUCCAACUCUUCUGGUGCAACCGCAGCCAAUGUACUACAUGGUCGAGCAGCAGCCAAGCACAGUACUGGUCGCAGAAAGACCUGCCAUGACACAGGGCAUGUAUGUUUUGAACAGUGGCCCAGUUGCUGAGGGCAUGGUAGUGCAGGGCGGCAAUAUAGCAGCAAAUACCCUGACGAGAGGUGAGAGAAUGGUGCUUGUGGACCGUGGCGGACCUGCUCAAGCGCUCAACAAUGGGAUGCUGCACACAAGUAAUCUGUCUGGAUCACAAUUGCUCCUGGUGGAUGGAGGUGCCACGAGCGGUCAAGUCCUUCAGGGGACUAUUCAAAGAGGGGUUGCUGGAUCUCAGGGCCUGAUGUUUGUGGACGGACAAGGGGGGCAGGUGAUUCAGGGAUCAAUCAACAAUGGUAUUUCCACUCAUGGCGGAUCUCAAAAUGUCUUUUAUGUGGAGAAUAAAGGGGGAUCGAGUGUUGUCCAGGGGGGGCUUCAAAUGGGCAAGGCAUCCACCGCAGGAUCCCUUAUUGGUGAUGUUGGCAUUGGUGGGUCAUCUGUCAAGAUUACCCAAAAUCCUUCAUCGCAUAAAGUCGUUGUCCAGGAGAGGAAGGUUGUGACAACACAAAGCGUCAAGUAACAAUGCAACACUCAGGCGGCACAUGAACAGUUGUGAAAAUGUCUAGGGUUUUAAAAAUCAAGUCUUGCGCAGCUCCUGAAUGCAAAUCAGUAGAGUAUCAUGUUGUCAACAUGUUGGGUCAUAGAGUGUACGCAAAUGAAUUCUUGAAAAACUGGUUUUAAUGCCCUUGAGUUUACUUCUCUGUAUGCGUAGUGCACUGUUUGCGUAUUUUUUUAUUACUUUGUUUUUGUUAUUUUUUUUGCAUGUUUUGCUGGUUGUCUGUUGCUGUAUGAAUGCAUUGAGUGUGUUUUAUUCUGUAAAGGAGGGUUUAUGAUA
ensembl:processed_transcript dsg2.1 desmoglein 2, tandem duplicate 1